rnacentral:rRNA from 1 species
UACGUAGGCAGCAAGCGUUGUUCGGAGUUACUGGGCGUAAAGGGUGUGUAGGCGGUUGUUUAAGUUUGGUGUGAGAUCUCCCGGCUCAACUGGGAGGGUGCGCCGAAUACUGAAUGACUUCGAGUGCGGGAGAGGAAAGUGGAAUUCCUGGUGUAGCGGUGAAAUGCGUAGAUAUCAGGAGGAACACCGGUGGUGUAGACGGCUUUCUGGACCGUAACUGACGCUGAGGCACGAAAGCUGGGGGAGCGAACAGG